GGAUGUGAGGGCGAUCUGACUGUGACAUCUGUCACCCCGUUGUUCACCAGGGUUGAUUUGGCUGAUCUGACUGGCUAGGCGGGUAUCCCCUUCCUCCCUCACCACUCCAUGUGUGUCUGUCGCAAACCUGUGUGCUCAGUCAAAGAGGAUGACCAUCCCCAAUAGAGGAGGACUGGUCUUCAGUCAAGGGUAUACGAGUAGCUGCACUCCCCUGCUAGAAACUCUAAAGAAGCUCUCAAAAAAAAAAAAAAAAAAAAAAAAGGGAUGACAUAGUAUCACUGUUUGCUCAUGUGCUCUUCCAGUUUAGGCUGAAUCUCAUCAUGAGGAAAUAGC
rnacentral:snRNA from 2 species